CGUCACAAAUACACAUAUUUGGAGGCAGAUGUGCACUGCGUUCAUGCACGUGUGAACGUCUGUCUGCCUCUUUUGACACCUCUGGCUGGUGCAAGAAAAAAAAAAAAAAAGUAUUUUUCAUUGGUGGAAACAUAUGACAACAAUAAACACCAUCGACCCCACAUGGGUGCAGAUGUCAAUCAGAGAAGAGAAACAAAAACCUCCAAAGGCCCAAUGCUGCCUCUGGUGGACAACAGGAGGAAGUGUCAGGUCUGUUAUGUUCAACACAGGACCUUUUGUUGGACUGGAAUCGUUUUUUCUGACUGACUGAAUGGCACAAAUAUAAUUUGUGUG